rnacentral:rRNA from 1 species
GACGAACGCUGGCGGCGUGCUUAGCACAUGCAAGUCGAACGGAAAGGCCUGUCCUUCCUUGUGUUGGACGGGUGCUCGAGUGGCGAACGGGUGAGUAACACGUGAGUGAUCUGCCCCCAACUUGGGUAUAAGCCUGGGAAACUGGGUCUAAUUCCCGAUAGGACUGCAGGGUGGUGCCUGUGGUGGAAAACGAUUUUCUAGUGGUUGGGGAUGAGCUCGCGGCCUAUCAGCUUGUUGGUGGGGUAAUGGCCUACCAAGGCGGCGACGGGUAGCCGGCCUGAGAGGGUGGACGGCCACAUUGGGACUGAGAUACGGCCCAGACUCCUACGGGAGGCAGCAGUGGGGAAUAUUGCACAAUGGGCGGAAGCCUGAUGCGGCGACGCCGCGUGGGGGAUGACGGCCUUCGGGUUGUAAACUCCUUUCGACCGCGAGGAAGCCGCCUGGUUGGAAGGGUGGUGACGGUAGUGGUAGAAGAAGCACCGGCUAACUACGUG